UACAGAGGGUGCGAGCGUUAAUCGGAAUUACUGGGCGUAAAGCGCGUGUAGGCGGGUAGAUAAGUCGGGUGUGAAAUCCCUGGGCUCAACCUAGGAACUGCAUCCGAAACUGCCUUUCUGGAGUGAUGGAGAGGAAAGCGGAAUUCCCGGUGUAGAGGUGAAAUUCGUAGAUAUCGGGAGGAACACCAGUGGCGAAGGCGGCUUUCUGGCCAUCAACUGACGCUGAGACGCGAAAGCGUGGGGAGCAAACAGG
rnacentral:rRNA from 1 species